GCAAGUCGAGCGCUUUCCUUCGGGAAGGAGCGGCGGACGGGUUAGUAACGCGUGGGAAUUUGCCCAGUAGUGGGGGACAACCAGUGGAAACGCUGGCUAAUACCGCAUACGUCCUAUGGGAGAAAGGUGGCCUCUAUUUAUAAGCUAUCGCUAUUGGAGAAGCCCGCGUUAGAUUAGCUAGUAGGUGAGGUAAAGGCUCACCUAGGCGACGAUCUAUAGCUGGUCUGAGAGGAUGAUC
rnacentral:rRNA from 1 species